rnacentral:rRNA from 1 species
UGCUUUGCGGCACGAGUUGUAGAUUGCAGGUUGGAGUCUGUGUGGAAGGCGGUGUCCAAGUCCCUUGGAACAGGGCGCCCAGGAGGGUGAGAGCCCCGUGGGAUGCCGGCGGAAGCAGUGAGGCCCUUCUGACGAGUCGAGUUGUUUGGGAAUGCAGCUCCAAGCGGGUGGUAAAUUCCAUCUAAGGCUAAAUACUGGCGAGAGACCGAUAGCGAACAAGUACUGUGAAGGAAAGAUGAAAAGCACUUUGAAAAGAGAGUGAAACAGCACGUGAAAUUGUUGAAAGGGAAGGGUAUUGCGCCCGACAUGGGGAUUGCGCACCGCUGCCUCUCGUGGGCGGCGCUCUGGGCUUUCCCUGGGCCAGCAUCGGUUCUUGCUGCAGGAGAAGGGGUUCUGGAACGUGGCUCUUCGGAGUGUUAUAGCCAGGGCCAGAUGCUGCGUGCGGGGACCGAGGACUGCGGCCGUGUAGGUCACGGAUGCUGGCAGAACGGCGCAACACCGCCCGUCUUGA